rnacentral:rRNA from 1 species
AUGAUGAAGUAUGAGGCUAUGACUGACUCUCACUUCGAGAAUCUAUACAAGUACAGAGAGACAUGGGUACCCUGCUACUUCAAGCACCAAUUCUUCCCUUUCUUGCAGUCAACUCAACGCAGCGAGGGGUUCAAUGUUGUCCUUAAGCGAUAUGUGAACCCACACAAGUCCAUUUUGAACUUUGUGAAGCAAUAUCAGAAAAUCCAAACACACAUACUAGUCCGGGAGGGUUCAAAAGACUACAGGACAGCACAUUUACAGAAUGAAAUGUGGUCAUCUUACCCAAUAGAGAAGCAGGCGUACGGAUCGUACACUAGGGACUUGUACGAGAAGUUUCAUGAUGAGUUUCAGUUGACUACAAGGUACAAUGUGCGACCGCAUGGUGAAAACUUGUAUGAGGUUUACCCCAAUCAA